rnacentral:tRNA from 1 species
UGCAUCGGCCAGGAAUCGAACCCGGGCAGCCCGCGUGGCAGGCGAGCAUUCUACCACUGAACCACCGAUGC